CACAUGCGCAAGUGGCGUAUGUACGUUUUGCGUUGUACGUUUUGUAACUCGAAUGUCCCAGUUUCUGUUCGUCAUUCCGCAGGGUCCGUGUGAGAGAUCAUCCUGCACAUAUUUUUCACGCUAUUCUUCAAGGUUGACUCUGUAACACUGAAGCCUUCUACGAUGUUCAAGUACACCUUCUUCUGUCUGUUCGUCUGCCUAAUUGUUCUCGAAGUCCUGGUUGGCGCACAGGAAGGAGGAAGUGGUGGACUCAAACAGAUCGCAG